rnacentral:rRNA from 1 species
GACGAACGCUGGCGGCGCGCUUAACACAUGCAAGUCGAACGGAAAGGCCUGCUUUCCCUUGUGGAUUGCGGGUACUCGAGUGGCGAACGGGUGAGUAACACGUGAGUGAUCUGCCCCCAACUUGGGUAUAAGCCUGGGAAACUGGGUCUAAUUCCCGAUAGGACUGCAGGGUGGUGCCUGUGGUGGAAAACGAUUUUCUAGUGGUUGGGGAUGAGCUCGCGGCCUAUCAGCUUGUUGAUGGGGUAAUGGCCUACCAAGGCGGCGACGGGUAGCCGGCCUGAGAGGGUGGACGGCCACAUUGGGACUGAGAUACGGCCCAGACUCCUACGGGAGGCAGCAGUGGGGAAUAUUGCACAAUGGGCGGAAGCCUGAUGCAGCGACGCCGCGUGGGGGAUGACGGCCUUCGGGUUGUAAACUCCUUUCGACCGCGAGGAAGCCACCUGGUUGGAAGGGUGGUGACGGUAGUGGUAGAAGAAGCACCGGCUAACUACGUG